rnacentral:rRNA from 1 species
CUUGGUCAUUUAGAGGAAGUAAAAGUCGUAACAAGGUUUCCGUAGGUGAACCUGCGGAAGGAUCAUUACUGUGAAAAUAACUUCCACACAGCGUGAGCGCACAAAACACCUAAACGUAUGUCAAAAAUGUCAGCAAGUUUUAAUAAAACAAAACUUUCAACAACGGAUCUCUUGGUUCUCGCAUCGAUGAAGAGCGCAGCGAAAUGCGAUACCUAGUGUGGAUUGCAGCCAUCGUGAAUCAUCGAGUUCUUGAACGCACAUUGCGCCCUUCGGUAUUCCGGGGGGCAUGCCCGUUUGAGCGUCGUUUCCAUCUUGCGAAAGCAGAAAUGGCUUGGCCUCGGCCCUGCUGAAAGGAAACGGAGUGGCGAAGCGAACUAGAUAGGACGCUUGGCGCUCGUAGAGUAAUAAAUUAAGCUCGACCUCAAAUCAGGUAGGAAUACCCGCUGAACUUAAGCAUAUCAAUAAGCGGAGGA